rnacentral:rRNA from 1 species
CCUACGGGGGGCAGCAGUGGGGAAUAUUGCACAAUGGGGGAAACCCUGAUGCAGCGACGCCGCGUGAGUGAAGAAGUAAUUCGUUAUGUAAAGCUCUAUCAGCAGGGAAGAAAAUGACGGUACCUGAGUAAGAAGCCCCGGCUAACUACGUGCCAGCAGCCGCGGUAAUACGUAGGGGGCAAGCGUUAUCCGGAUUUACUGGGUGUAAAGGGAGCGUAGACGGCAGUGCAAGUCUGGAGUGAAAGGCGGGGGCUCAACCCCGGGACUGCUCUGGAAACUGUGCGGCUGGAGUGCAGGAGAGGUAAGGGAAAGUCAUGGUGGAGGGGUGAAAUGCGUAGAUAUGAGGAGGAA